rnacentral:rRNA from 1 species
CCUACGGGGGGCAGCAGUGGGGAAUAUUGGGCAAUGGAGGAAACUCUGACCCAGCAACGCCGCGUGAAGGAUGAAGGUUUUCGGAUUGUAAACUUCUGUCGCGAGGGAUGAAGAAUGACGGUACCCUGAAAACAAGCCACGGCUAACUACGUGCCAGCAGCCGCGGUAAUACGUAGGUGGCAAGCGUUGUCCGGAUUUACUGGGUGUAAAGGGCGUGUAGCCGGGAAGGCAAGUCAGAUGUGAAAUCCGGAGGCUCAACCUCCGAAUUGCAUUUGAAACUGUUUUUCUUGAGUACUGGAGAGGCAGACGGAAUUCCUUGUGUAGCGGUGAAAUGCGUAGAUAUAAGGAGGAACACCAGUGGCGAAGGCGGUCUGCUGGACAGCAACUGACGGUGAGGCGCGAAAGCGUGGGGAGCAAACAGGAUUAGAUACCCCUGUAGUC